rnacentral:ribozyme from 13 species
GAAGAAACAUAUGUGAAGGAAAUAAGCAAGAAGGAUAUCUGUGUUUUCGGUCCGUUUUCUGAUGAGCUGUUUUUCAUUUUUCUUUUUUU